UCAGUCUUUUUGUUGGAACGAUGUUAUACUUUGUCCAUGAAACCAAGUAGCGUGUGUAUUUGUCUUUCUUGUAUGUUUUCAAAGAAAAGAUUUUUGCAUCAUCAAGAACAAUUUCUGAAUCGGUAGUGGCGCUACAUACCAAAGAGUAUCAUAUCUAAAGUUUAAACAAUUAAUGCAUUAAUAUUUUUACCGAAUAUUAAAUGUUAAGGGACGUGAGUAUGAAACAUUAAAUAAGAAAAUAUAACCGCAGCUUAUGCCAGAUACACGUGAUGAUACAUGUGAUGAGAACACACUAUAUUAUAUCACACAAGUAUCCAAUUAAUAAUAAUAAAUGUCAUAUAUUAUUACUUAGAUCUGGACAAAUAAAUAUUACU